UACGUAGGGUGCAAGCGUUGUUCGGAAUUACUGGGCGUAAAGGGCGCGUAGGCGGCCUUGUUAGUCGAGUGUGAAAGCCCUGGGCUUAACCCGGGAAGCGCGCUUGAUACUGCGAGGCUUGAGUGUGGGAGAGGUUGGUGGAAUUCCCAGUGUAGAGGUGAAAUUCGUAGAUAUUGGGAAGAACACCGGUGGCGAAGGCGACCAACUGGACCACAACUGACGCUGAGGCGCGAAAGCGUGGGGAGCAAACAGG
rnacentral:rRNA from 1 species